UGAAGAGUUUGAUCAUGGCUCAGAUUGAACGCUGGCGGCAGGCCUAACACAUGCAAGUCGAACGGUAACAGGAAGCAGCUUGCUGCUUUGCUGACGAGUGGCGGACGGGUGAGUAAUGUCUGGGAAACUGCCUGAUGGAGGGGGAUAACUACUGGAAACGGUGGCUAAUACCGCAUAACGUCGCAAGACCAAAGAGGGGGACCUUCGGGCCUCUUGCCAUCAGAUGUGCCCAGAUGGGAUUAGCUUGUUGGUGAGGUAACGGCUCACCAAGGCGACGAUCCCUAGCUGGUCUGAGAGGAUGACCAGCCACACUGGAACUGAGACACGGUCCAGACUCCUACGGGAGGCAGCAGUGGGGAAUAUUGCACAAUGGGCGCAAGCCUGAUGCAGCCAUGCCGCGUGUAUGAAGAAGGCCUUCGGGUUGUAAAGUACUUUCAGCGGGGAGGAAGGUGUUGUGGUUAAUAACCGCAGCAAUUGACGUUACCCGCAGAAGAAGCACCGGCUAACUCCGUGCCAGCAGCCGCGGUAAUACGGAGGGUGCAAGCGUUAAUCGGAAUUACUGGGCGUAAAGCGCACGCAGGCGGUCUGUCAAGUCGGAUGUGAAAUCCCCGGGCUCAACCUGGGAACUGCAUUCGAAACUGGCAGGCUUGAGUCUUGUAGAGGGGGGUAGAAUUCCAGGUGUAGCGGUGAAAUGCGUAGAGAUCUGGAGGAAUACCGGUGGCGAAGGCGGCCCC
rnacentral:rRNA from 1 species